rnacentral:lncRNA from 1 species
GAGUGUCCUGUGGGAUGGAGACUCGGGGUGGACUGCCUGGCUGUGCGCUGUGGAGCGUGGUAGACCCAGUAAGACUUGGUCCCUACGCUAUGACAGAUGUCCUCGGAGUUCCCAGCACUGGGGCUUCUGCUGGGGAGGCUCAUCCUUCGUAUUGGGGAUCCUGACAAGGAGAUUGGCUGGGAGGCUCUGGACGGCAUCACCCUCCUCUACACCAUCCUGGAGUUCCAAAAACGAGCCAGAGAUAAGGAAGAGACCAACAAGAAGGAGCUGUAUGAGAGCAACAAGCGCUUCCUGGGGCCCCACAACCCUGUCAACCCACGCCAGAACAUCUUGCGUGUGAUUUUGGUGACCGCAGGGACAGCUGGCUGCCGCUCGGCUGGCCUCCCUGGGCGGGGAGGGAGGCGGGGCAGUGCCACCAGCCCCCUGCUCCCCGACCAGCUCUCCGACUGGCCCCGCCCUUUGGGAGAGGCCUUUCCUCCCCACAGGAGCUGUCCGCAGCCGCUGCCUCCUGUGUACAGCCCGUGGGCCAUGCCUCCCUUCUCCGUGAUGCGUGCCUCCCAGUCCUGGGUACAGGGACCUUGCUGCCCCUCGUCUUGUGGCUCCUCCCUCGGGGACUCAAUGUUCAUGGAUGAGGGUGUGUGUGUGGCCCUCCCCCUGGCUCCUACCCACGGCUGUGGCUGUUGUCCCGUGUGUGGCCCAGGACUGCCCAUCCACGUGGAGACCUCCGUGUCUGUCUGUGUUCCAGAUUUUUGGAGACUUCUUGGGCCCCCAGCAGGUGAAGGACCUGCUGCUGGCAGCCGUGGAAGGGCUGAGUGGCGGCGUGGAGGCUCAGGGGAAGGACUCCGGGGAGACGAUGCAGCUGCCCUCAGAGGUCAUGCUCAACUCCGUGCUGAGGUGGUACCACCUCAGAACACUGGUGGUGGUAAGGCGGGGCACCAGCUGCUCUCCCGGGCAGCCCUGAGAACUCAGCUGAGUUGGGGGCGGGCAGAGAAGAGGAACCCCUCACUCCCAAGAGCAGCACCCCUGUGCCUGCCCUGGCCCUCUCUCCUACCCGGUCCUCUCUCCUACCUCCACCUUCCUUCCUUCUCCUACCUUCGGCUUCUCCAAUGAGCCCUCCUUCUGUCUGCUCCCGGCUGCCACCAGAUCCCAGAAAUCAUGCAGGGCAUCUACGUGCAGCUGAGCCACAUCCAGGAGCCACGUGCCCGAGAGGUGGCCCUGCUUCCCGUCUCCUUCCUGGCCAGGUCCUUCAUGACUGAGGUCGUGGUGGCCCUGCUCAAGUGUCCCCUGCCCCUGAACAGGUAUGGAGUAAGGAGGUUCCCAGCCCUCACUCCUCAGAGGAUCAGAACAGCCCCUGUCCUCCUGCCCUCCCUGGGAGCCCCUGUUCUGUGACCUUGGUUCCUGUGGUGACCGCUAGACCCUUCCCAAGCACUGCUGGGUGUCUGCAGCCCCAUU